UCGUGGCUUUUGGCUUUGAGCCUGAGAGUAUCGCCUAGGGAUCGUACGAGUGUUAGUGAGCAUGUCGAUGUAUCGAUUGCUGGUCGAUCACCCGGGCAAAAUAUCGCAUUGAUGCGCGUUUUUUUGGCUGCUUGGAUAUUGGAAUGAUGCGAAUUGGCACAAAAUAAGUUAGCUGUAUGAUUGUUAUUUGUUUUGGAAAUAUAUAAUAUAUUUUGGCAUGAUAUGAAUCGACUUUAUGGCAUUUUCAGCUUGUGGCUAGGAGGAUGUUGGUGGUCAGGUGGCUGCAGGUUGGCACUGGUGGGUGCGCCGGGAAACGCUUUGCUAUCUUUUCGAUGGCGUCUGGCGGAUCUUGGUCUCAUUUUGGCUUUGCUGUGGUAUCUGGUAUGACUUGACAGCAGAAUUGAGAAAUUUGAACAAAUUGAUACUUU